UACAGAGGUCUCAAGCGUUUGUUCGGAUUCAUUGGGCGUAAAGGGUGUGUAGGUGGCGCCGUAAGUCGGGUGUGAAAUUUCGAGGCUUAACCUCGAAACUGCAUUCGAUACUGCGGUGCUUGAGGACUGGAGAGGAGACUGGAAUUCAUGGUGUAGCAGUGAAAUGCGUAGAGAUCAUGAGGAAGACCAGUGGCGAAGGCGGGUCUCUGGACAGUUCCUGACACUGAGACACGAAGGCCAGGGGAGCAAACGGGG
rnacentral:rRNA from 1 species